UACGGGGGGGGGCAAGCGUUGUUCGGAAUUACUGGGCGUAAAGCGCGCGCAGGCGGUUCUUCAAGUCAGAGGUGAAAGCCCAGAGCUCAACUCUGGAAUGGCCUUUGAGACUAGAGAACUAGGGUACGGGAGAGGUGAGUGGAAUUCCGAGUGUAGAGGUGAAAUUCGUAGAUAUUCGGAAGAACACCAGUGGCGAAGGCGGCUCACUGGCCCGUUACCGACGCUCAGGCGCGACAGCGUGGGGAGCAAACAGG
rnacentral:rRNA from 1 species